rnacentral:lncRNA from 1 species
AACCCACUCACGUCCCCUUCCAUGCUAUGGAAGCUCUGUUCUUUUGCUCUUUGCAAUAAAUCUUGCUGCUGCUCACUCUUUGGGUCCACACUGCCUUUAUGAGCCAUAACACUCACCGCGAAGGUCUGCAACUUCUCUCCAGAGGCCAGCAAGACCACGAACCCACUGGGAGGAAUGAACAACUCCGGACGGGAGGAACGAACCACUCUGGACGCACCGCCUUAAGAGCUAUAACACUCACUGCGAAGGUCUGCAGCUUCAUUCCUGAAGCCAGCGAGACCACGAACCCACCAGAAGGAAGAAACUCUGAACACACCCAAACAUCAGAAGGAACAAACUCCGAACACAUCAGAAGGAACAAACUGCGGACAUGCCGCCUUUAAGAACUGUAACACUCACCACGAGAUUCUGCGGCUUCAUUCUUGAAGUCAGUGAGACCAAGAACCCACCAAUUCCGGAUACAUUUUGGUGACCCAGAUGGGACUAUUACCUAUCGCCAAGCGGUGAGACCACUGCCUAUCGCUGAGCGGUGAGACUAUCACCUAUCGCCAAGCAGUGAGUACCACUGGACCCCUUUCACUUGCUAUUCUGUCCUAUUUUUCCUUAGAAUUUGGGGGCUAAAUACCAGGCACCUGUCUGCCAGUUAAAAGUGACUAGCAUGGCCGCUGGACUAAAGACAUGGGUGUCAGGCUUUCUGGGAAAGGGCUCUCUAACAACUCCCGACUCUUUGGAGUUGGGAGCGUUGGUUUGCCUAGAACCAGCUUCUGCUUUUCCUGUACUUCUGGGCUGAGCCGAGGGUCGACAGAGAGGAAAGCCAUGCAGCUCUAGGGUCCCGACAAGACAACAAGUUCGUUGACCCUGCAGCCAUGAGCGGAACACUCAAAGGCAUGUCGCCCAAGCGAGACUCGCCCAUCUAUCCUAUCUAUCCUGACUCUUGCCCCCGGGUCCUAAUGCCUGCCAGACAAACUUCCUCUCACCUCUCUUCUCCGAGUUUAGUCCUGCUUCUAAAAUUUGCUGUCUCUGGUGCUUUUCUAGUUUCUCCUAUAAGAACGACUUCUAGAACUCUGUUACAUUCUUUAGGCACCCAGGCUCACCAAUCAGAAAGACAUAAUUUUUGCCCAAAGCCCUGUCAUAGUGGCGACUACCUGGAAUUUUACGAUCCCUCCUCAGACUAACAGGCCUAACAAAGGUAUUCCUGAAGCUAGGAUAUGGGGAGCCUCAGAAAUUGUAGCUUUCCUAUUCAUAUAAGUGAGGACAAAAGGUGUCACUCUUCCAACCCUGGAGAUCCCUUCCCUCCCUCAGGGUAUGGCCCUCCACUUCAUUUUUGGGGCAUAACAUCUUUAUAGGACAGGGGUAAAGUCCCAAUACUAACAGGAGAAUGCUUAGAACUCUAACAGGUUUUCAAGAAUGCGUCGGUAAGGGCCACUAAAUCCGACCUUCCUUGGUCCUCCAUGUGGUCUGAGAGGAAAACUAGUGUUUCUGCUGCUGCGUUGAUGAGCACAACUAUUCCGAUCAGCAGGGUACAGGGACUGUUGCAGUUUCUUGGGCAGGGGGAGAAACAAAACAAACCAAAACCGC